rnacentral:rRNA from 1 species
CACGUAGGGUGCGAGCGUUGUCCGGAAUUAUUGGGCGUAAAGAGCUCGUAGGCGGUGUGUCGCGUCGGCCGUGAAAACCUGCAGCUUAACUGUGGGCUUGCGGUCGAUACGGGGCAUCACUGGAGUUCGGCAGGGGAGACUGGAAUUCCUGGUGUAGCGGUGAAAUGCGCAGAUAUCAGGAGGAACACCAAUGGCGAAGGCAGCUCGCUGGGACGUGACUGACGACUGGAGAACCGCGAAAGCGUGGGGAGCAAACAGG